UGAUGAAUAAGCACGGGCUAACUCCGUGCCAGCAGCCGCGGUAAUACGGGGGGUGCAAGCGUUACUCGGAAUCACUGGGCGUAAAGGACGCGUAGGCGGAUUAUCAAGUCUUUUGUGAAAUCUAGUGGCUUAACCACUAAACUGCUUAGGAAACUGAUAGUCUAGAUUAGGGGAAAAGUAGAUGGAAUUCUUGGUGUAGGGGUAAUGUCCGUAGACUUCAAGAAGAAUACCCAUUGCGAAAGCGAUCUGCUGGAACCUAACUGACGCUGAGGCGUGAAAGCGUGGGUAGCAAACAGGAUUAGAUACCCUGGKMKUCCACGCCCUWAACGAUGUAUACUAGUUGUURCUUUGCUASUCAAGGCAGUAACGCAGCUWACGCAUUAAGUAUACCGCCUGGGGAGUACGGUCGCAAGAUUAAAACUCAAAGGAAUAGACGGGGACCCGCACUAGCGGURGAGCAUGUGGUUUAAUUCGAAGAUCCGCGAAGAACCUCACCUGSACYUGACAUCCUAAAAACAUCUAAGAGAUUAGAAAGUGCUAGUUUACUAGAAUUUAGUGACAGGUGCUGCACGGCUGUCGUCAGCUCGUGUCGUGAGAUGUUGGGUUAAGUCCCGCAACGAGCGCAACCCACGUGUUUAGUUGCUAACAGCUCGGCUGAGCACUCUAAACAGACUGCCUUCGUAAGGAGGAGGAAGGUGUGGACGACGUCAAGUCAUCAUGGCCCUUAUGUCCAGGGCGAC
rnacentral:rRNA from 1 species